rnacentral:rRNA from 1 species
CCUACGGGAGGCUGCAGUGAGGAAUAUUGGUCAAUGGGCGAGAGCCUGAACCAGCCAAGUCGCGUGAGGGAGUACUGCCCUAUGGGUUGUAAACCUCUUUUGUCGGGGAGCAAAAGCCGGACGUGUCCGGCUGUGAGAGUACCCGAAGAAAAAGCAUCGGCUAACUCCGUGCCAGCAGCCGCGGUAAUACGGAGGAUGCGAGCGUUAUCCGGAUUUAUUGGGUUUAAAGGGUGCGCAGGCGGAUUUUUAAGUCAGCGGUAAAAUCGUGGGGCUCAACCCCAUCCAGCCGUUGAAACUGGGGAUCUAGAGUGUGCGAGAGGUAGGCGGAAUGCGUGGUGUAGCGGUGAAAUGCAUAGAUAUCACGCAGAACCCCGAUUGCGAAGGCAGCAUACCGGUGCACAACUGACGCUCAGGCACGAAAGCGUGGGUAUCGAACAGGAUUAGAUACCCUUGUAGUC